GUUGAGUCCAAUUAAACCGCAGGCUUCACCCCUUGUGGUGCUCCCCCGCCAAUUCCUUUAAGUUUCGUACUUGCGUACGUACUUCCCAGGCGGCAAACUUAACGGCUUCCCUGCAGCACUGCAUUGGCCACAAGCCAAUGCAUCACUGAGUUUGCAUAGUUUACACCUAGGACUACCCGGGUAUCUAAUCC
rnacentral:rRNA from 1 species